AAGCGGUCGACUUUGGCUGGAGCCAAUUCACGCUUUGUUUACUCGUUUGAGGUGAUAUCCAACGGCGAGCAAAGUAAAGUCCACAGGAGGAGCGCUUGUUGUUAUUGACCGGGUAAAAUAUCGCUAAACCGAACGAAAAUUCCACACCAUUCACACCCUUGUCGGAUCCCCACUGUGCUAAAUCAACAUAUUUCACCCAAGGGUGUUGUAGCGAUUGCCUAAAUAACUCGUUAAUAGUCGCUCACUUCACUUCGUCGCCAACUUGUUUAAGUAGGUGAGUUUCCUCAAUCUCGUGGGAUGGUGAGGUGUUCUCCCUCGGCGUCCUUGUCACACUCUGACAAGACCAACAGCAACAUCACCAAUAUGGAUGAUAUGGACACAGGCUUCUUCUCUCCAAUGAGCGUGCCCUCCUUACAACAAGCCCUAUUCUGCUACUAAUCGUACAUACGGGUGGAAGACGAGCGGAUCCGAAGCACAUGUCUCAUACAACAUGGUCUUUGCCAGGCGGAUACGAUCCCCAGAAACCACCACGGCUACUUCUAAUACGAUCGCCAACGCCACCGUCAUCACCACUUCGCCUUCAAGCUCCAAGCUUCACCAAGACCAGGUUUUGGAUUGUGGACGGUGCGGACGGUGUGGACUGGAGUCGCUUUGUCUUGUGCUGCGGAUAUUCUCCACAUGGAAGGUAGCAAGUAAGCGGGUGAGCGAGCUCUCAAUCCUUAGCCGGCUUUUUUGCACCUGCCUGUCUCUCCUUCGAUAUCUAUCGCUCACCAUGUAUGAACCUAUGGCUCUCCUGGAGAAGUACUGUCCAUGAUGUUUUCUCUAAUAUUAGGGACUGGACAAAUGCGGCAUCGGGAAGUGAUGCUACCGACAGUGCAUGUGCCAUAUUGGGGAGCUGCUAACCCAACCCAGCGCGUCAGAUUUUGCAUCACAAAGAGGAUCGGCGAGGUGAAACAGUAGCCCUUGGAAAGGAGAUUUUGAAAAGAAAAAAAGCGGACCCCAAAGCAAAUCCAUCAUCAAUAGUUUCAUUCAUGACAAAGAAGUCGAAAUUGGCGGCCUCACCAGUUGUCAGCUAUCGGCUUACGUGGACGGAGACUAGAGAGAGAACGUAUUAUUCUGUUCGGUUCAUCGGGCACAGCUGGUCACUGUCUCACCGUCCAAAGCAUCAUCCCCCAUCAUCCCUAUCCAGAUGAUUCUGAUUUGUUCAUGUUGGCAAAGCCUGUUAGGAGAGACCCAGCGAGAAGCAUUGAGGUCUCCACGUUCAAUAAUCUCCUGAAGUGUCCACUUGUCAAAGAGAUUUCAUUUUACUAAUUUGGAUCUCCCGGCACUUUUUGUUUGUUACGCUGAAUGGUCAAAUUAGCGACAGUCUGCGUCCUGUUUAUCUUGAUUGAAGAUCGGGACCCUUCAAUCACAUCUUCACAUCAGUACAAUUAGAGCAAAAACAGGAUCGCUUUAUGACCACCAAUCAAUCCAUCCAUCCAACCUUGGUCUCCAUAAGUGGAAUUGGUGUAUUUAUUUAUGAGAGCACCUUCAGAAGCAAGCUGACAUGAAUGCAUAUAUAAUAGUGCCCAGAUGAUUGCCACUUUUUCUCCUUCGUCUUGUAAGGUUGAAAUGUCAGGUCUCGAAUUAUGCAUUGAAAUCGACGUUCAAAAAAUAAUGACAAUUUGGCCAAAUCGCACCAUCGCCUUGUAGUGAGUUCAAGUGCGAAUUCAGAGAAGGCAAAUGACUACUUACAAGCAACUCAAAUCGCCAUGUCAAAUGGGAGGGGGGGGAGGGUCCCCUCUCCAAGUUGCCUCGAAAGGUUCAGCAGGACUUGGAAGUGGUUGAGCGUGCAAAUGUCGGGAUGUUAUUGUACCUGACUUAUCCCUCUCAAACUUCGACAUGGCCUGUUGUGAAAUAAGUACUGAACAAAUUCCUCCAGAAUAUGGACCACUUCGAUAGCCCAAGGCCCAAUUCUCACGUGUUUUCCUGCGCCCCAAAAUCCAUCCCGAGGUUUGGCUGCAGAGAUCUUUACCCAAGUCCAGGGCUCAUUGUGUUCUGCUUUGAUAAGGGGUCAAGACGACUCGAGAAAGAUAUGGAAGCGAGCAACGUGCCCAAUAAAACCUGGUUCGAUAUCACUUUUUCCAAUUCUUCAUCAAUGUCGUCAUCGUCAUAUUGGGCGAGUUCCUCCUCGUACUGCAAGCAAAGAAAUUUUCAUGAAUGAAAUGAAAUGAAACCAAGAUAGAUAUACCACGCACUCCGAGAAAAUCGAAUGAGUCGCUUUCAAUGCUUCCAAUCCAUUAGGGCCUCAUCUUCAACCUCAAGAUGAUCUUUAGUACUCAACGAGAGGUGGUAAACAUCGAUAAAAACACGCCGGGUUAAUGGCCGCUAAUCUCAUAAAGCAAAGUCUACCGGACAGGCUGUAUGACAAAAACCAUAGGAAUUUGGGCCUAUCAUUCGUCACUAGGCCUGCUAAGGUUGCGUUUGAUAUGAAGGCAUCGUGUGCCUGGUUGAAUCCGAGACUCCUGGAGUUAUGUGCCCCGUCUCCCUGUCUCUCACUUCAAGUUCUAACCCGCCAUGAAACGAGGUGUGAAAGUGUGACCAAAACAGUCAGCUCGCAACUAUAAUCUGUACUCAGUACUCCGAGAUACCACAUGAACUUGCACUUGGAUCGGCCUUGAACGGGAAUUCAAUCCUGGCCAGGGUUGAGAUUGUUUUGUCACGGCCGUGAUGAUGAGCAUCAAUCCGUGGCCAUAUUUGGGACGUGAUAGCUUUUGAGUCCGGUUUGUCAUCAGCUUUAUAGAAUGUGACCGCGAAUAUAUGAUGAUGAAUGGACGCUGAAACACCUUGUUUGUUGAUCUCAUGAAAGUCAAACACGAAAACCAACGAGGAUACAAGGAUUCAACAAGACAUGAAAAAACAUGGCCCCCAACUCUCUUCCGGGGUCUGAUCCCUUCUUUUAGUUCUUUGAGUGUGUACCAAUAAUAUUAUCUCAAGGAUUGGGUUCUUGUAAACCCACCUGAUAUCAUCGUUCCUUUGAUCUUUGAUACGGACCGGUGACAAGACUCGGGAAUGACUCUUGACUUGUUCAAUUACGAUUCUUCGGAAUUCUUUUUGUUCUCGUGACGUCGGAAGUGGAGUAACUCAUUGCGAAGGAAGGCAAUGAAUCAGAAUGGAGGUCCGUUAAAAAAAAAUGUUAACCAUUGGCUUGGGUGUGUACCCACAAUGUGUGUAGUGACAACAAGAGCCUCCUGCCAAAUGGAUUUAAUGGAAGAAUCUCAUUGCAAAAACGUGAUGCACUAAGUGAUCUCUGGACGACUCAUGACAUGCCAAAACGGGGCCUCGAGGCUUAUGAAAAUGCGCCUGAUGAGUCUCUCAUGCCUACUCAACAAACCAGGAAGUGGGUGCGUAACUUCCAAACGAAACGUGCCCCGCAUCUCCCCAAUUUGUGGUCCUUCCAAAGUCUACCGAAUGGCCUCUUCAUUUCAUGAAGGCUUUUUUUGUUUCGCUUUUUUCCAAGCCCUUGAAGGUUAUUUAAUGAAAACCGCCGAGCGGAUCAAACUGGCUAGAUAUCUAAUUAAGAUCUGUCAAGGGCUUCUUCACACUUAGAAAUUUGAUCUCUUGAUUAGAUUCCUUCGCUCAUUAACAGUUAAAAUGAUAAACUCGGGAAUGAUGUGCUCCUGAGGAAAGGUCUGCAAAUAUGAUUCAUGAUCCAAUGAACUGACCAGGUAGCCUUCUCCACUUUCAUUCUCGACCUCCGUCCGUGAAGCCAACGUCUCCUUGAAAAGACCUUGUUAAGCUCCAGGGAAACCUGUUGAGAGGUGAUAAACAAUUGUUUUUUAAAUAUGAGCUCGUCGUCUCGAGUGGACCUAUUCACGGGUUUAUGACCAGAGUCUGGAACCAAGUACAAGGCAAGGUACUCAUUGUGCAAGCUACCAAUGGAGCCUCAUCAUUUCGGCGUUGCACUUCUUCAAGAGGAUUGACCCCCAGCGAAUGCUGCCACAAGCUUGGUAAUUAAAUCAUUAAAUCUAGGGCUUUUAGGGGAUGGCGGGAGCUCUCUGACUGACUUGGAAUCCUGAGGAGAUAUUCAACGCGUGGAGACGCCUUUGGAGGGGCCCAAACCGAAUGGAUAGAUGUAGUGCGUAGAUCUCAAUGACGUGAAUACGGAAACGAGAUGAUUAUCUGUCUCUCCAGAAGGUGCCAAGACACUAACAAUUAAUACAACAUCAAAGUUGGCUUGGCAGUGAAUUGAAACCUUAGCCUCCAAAAUGGUUCGUUCAUCCCCGGUAGAUCAGACUGCCAAUUUAUUGCUUUUCCAUCAGUGAUUUGAACGAUGGAAUAACUUUUCUUGGCCAUAAAUCUAUCAGGUUUAUGGCUCAUCCGGAUUAUCUGUAAAUCAGCAAAUGUUGAUUUUUCGAACAAAGCCAACUGAAUAAUGUGAAAAGACGUGUUUGAACGCGAGUAGAUCAACAGGCUUCGACCACAAACCCUCCACUUGGAAGUUCAUUGUUCGGGUUAAAAGUGGAGGGAAAAGUGUUAGUGAACAAUUGGAGGGGGUAGGUCCUGUAGAUAAGGUUCAUCAGGAUUCUGAUGGAUUGGGUCAAUCCUCUUGGGGUCUAUCCUUUGUGCGGAGAUGAGAAAAUAAAUGUGAUUGCGUGACUUCGACAAAGGUCGAAAAACGGCCCUUUUCAAACAAUACUCGAAUUUAAAUUGCACCAUGACUACUUCUAUCCCUCAUUCAACCAUUGGAGAGGAGAGGGUGAAUGAGAAUGACUCUUUUUCUCUCUUUCUUUUUCUUGCUUCCAAGCUUUUCUUCAUCGAGUCUUGCGUCUUGCGUCUUGUUGUAAUUGGUUUUCUUCCCCCCAGUUUCAAUUACGCACGUCCUUUGAAAAAAACGGACACCGUGAAAUUUGCCUUCUUGGUAUUCUAUGCUUUUGUCAAUAAAAGUCAGCCCAAAGGGCAUGAAGCAUAGACCACGGAAGCCACCCAGGGAUGGCUCGCACUUCCGAAUAUAUUCAAAUCGAAUUUCCAAUUCCGUUCAAGCCCAGAUAAGUAUCUGCCUUUUUUGGCUUAUAAAGAUUACAUUUUCUAGCAUUCUGAGCACUUUCAGAAGAUAAGGUGUUGUUGAACAGGUUUCGUGA